ACUCACUCACUCACUCUCUCACACACACACACACACACAAACAUGUACGACAAUCUAAAUUAAUAGAUGAAAAUUCCUGCUCCACUUUACUGAGAAGAUUCCCCACCUGUUUCUUCGUCCAAGACCCCACUGCGGACACAUCAUGGGAUUAAGAGAAGUCAGAGCAGAACACCUGAAGCAUGGAAACUGUCAUUAACAGGCACGUUUCAUCCAACUGCUGUACCCAGAUGACUCUAUACCUAAGGGGACAAGAUGUAAAAUAGUUAUGACUUAUUGCUCAAAAGUAUAAUAAGAUUUGUGGGUUAUUUAUUUAUUUAUCUAUCAUUUCUAAGAUUUGUGGAUUAUUUAUUUAUUUAUUUGUUAAUUUUUAUCAUUACACUCCCUGCUGUUUGAAACAUUUAUCCGCAUGAUCCCUCACAUUCCCGUGACUCAUCAGUGUUACCAUAUCAUAAACAAAUCAAAACAUCACUCCAGAAUUCACAAACCGCUUAAUUCUCUCACUUCAUCAUCAUUAUAUCGUUCAAAUUAAAAAUAUAAAUCGCCAUUAUACGAAUGCAAAUAUAACGCAUUCAUACAUCAUACUAUUAACUACAAAAUGCCUUCUGCCAUUUUUUUUUUUUUUUACCCAACGGAAAACCUUGGUCUUCUGCAUUGCCAUAUACAGAGCAAGGGAUUGUUGGGAACCUGCCAAACUAUGUGAUAAUCACUUUUCUUUUGUAAAGAAAAGAAUAUUGUGAUAUUUCAGUGUUUGUGGUUGGGUUGAGGCAAUAAAGCAUUUUUAAAAGUU